rnacentral:rRNA from 1 species
GAUGAACGCUAGCGGCAGGCCUAAUACAUGCAAGUCGGACGGGAUCCAUCGGAGAGCUUGCUCGAAGAUGGUGAGAGUGGCGCACGGGUGCGUAACGCGUGAGCAACCUACCUCUAUCAGGGGGAUAGCCUCUCGAAAGAGAGAUUAACACCGCAUAAUAUAAUCUUCCGGCAUCGUUAGAUUAUUAAAUAUUUAUAGGAUAGAGAUGGGCUCGCGUGACAUUAGCUAGUUGGUAAGGUAACGGCUUACCAAGGCGACGAUGUCUAGGGGCUCUGAGAGGAGAAUCCCCCACACGGGUACUGAGACACGGACCAGACUCCUACGGGAGGAAGCAGUAAGGAAUAUUGGUCAAUGGGCGGAAGCCUGAACCAGCCAUGCCGCGUGCAGGACGACUGCCCUAUGGGUUGUAAACUGCUUUUGUCCAGGAAUAAACCUAAAUACGUGUAUUUAGCUGAAUGUACUGGAAGAAUAAGGAUCGGCUAACUCCGUGCCAGCCGCCGCGGUAAAAC